UGGAGGCUCCAGGCAGUCCCUCCAUGGUGUUGCCAUGGUGUGGUGGUGGCGAUGGUUGCUGUCGGUGUCCGGAAGAUGCCGGCGGAGGUGUGGACCCACACUGGACCUAGGCUGGGAGACACACCCAUCUGACAUGCCCCCCACACGUACGUAUCUGCGUAAGUGAAGCCUGGAGCCACGGUCCCUUGCUGAAGUUUGAUCACGUAGCCACUCACCACAAAGAGCAUAUACUGAGAUACUUCUAUGAAAUCGGCCCAGAGUCUGACACUAAAGAUGUGGAGGUGACGGAGGUGAGAGAAGACACCUGCCAUGCAUGAUGGCCGGAUACAAAGGUUCAGUGGAAGAGAGGCUUUUUGCCUGUCAUGAGUGCUGUUGUGCGCCAUCUUCAUGAACGUCUUCCCUGCUCCACGCUCACUUUCCCAGCUGAGCAGGGGCACACAUGUCUGGUCACUGUAGGAGACAGUCAGACUGGAAGUUUCAACACCCCAAUGCUCAGGACAUCCACAUCCCAGCUGGGUCGCUGGCUCUGUGAUGGCCUCCUUCCUGGUUUCUCCACUACCCCGCACUUCUGCUCCCACACAUAAGCCCAAGAAGACGUCCCUCAGGCCCCCAGGAGUCUGAGUGCUCUGCCAGACACUGCCCUCCUAGAUCUGCCAAUACAGCCUCGCUCUGAGAGCUACUGGCUGCUUUCCACCCGGCUCCUACCGCCUUGCCUCGGGCCUCUGCAUUCACAUAUGGUUUUUCUGCUCCGAACCUGCCUGGCUCCUUGCUGGGGUCUCAAGAGCUCCUUCUGGGUUCCAUGUUUCAUUAGCCUCAGUCAGUCUCUCAAGGUGUAGUCACUUGUACCUUGCUAAUUACCUGCCAGUUCCUCCCACUGGAACCUCAGCUUGCUUCUCUAUUUCUCUGCUGUGUUUAUGGUACC